GUCAGCUUAGCUUAAUGGUAAGGCACUUGACGUGUAAUCACAGGGAUAUGAGUUUGAGUCUUGCAGCUGGCU
rnacentral:tRNA from 1 species